rnacentral:rRNA from 1 species
CCUACGGGAGGCAGCAGUGGGGAAUAUUGCACAAUGGGGGAAACCCUGAUGCAGCAACGCCGCGUGAGUGAAGAAGUAUUUCGGUAUGUAAAGCUCUAGCAGCAGGGAAGAAAAGGACGGUACCUGAGUAAGAAGCCACGGCUAACUACGUGCCAGCAGCCGCGGUAAUACGUAGGGGGCAAGCGUUAUCCGGAUUUAAUGGGUGGAAGGGGAGCGUAGACGGCAGUGCAAGUCUGGAGUGAAAGGCGGGGGCUCAACCCCCGGACUGCUCUGGAAACUGUACGGCUGGAGUGCAGGAGAGGUAAGUGGAAUUCCUAGUGUAGCGGUGAAAUGCGUCGAUAUUAGGAGGAACACCAGUGGCGAAGGCGGCUUACUGGACUGUAACUGACGUUGAGGCUCGAAAGCGUGGGGAGCAAACAGGAUUAGAUACCCCUGUAGUC